rnacentral:rRNA from 1 species
UGGUGGCGAGUGGCGAACGGGUGAGUAAUACAUCGGAACGUGUCCUGUAGUGGGGGAUAGCCCGGCGAAAGCCGGAUUAAUACCGCAUACGAUCUGUGGAUGAAAGCGGGGGAUCUUAGGACCUCGCGCUACAGGGGCGGCCGAUGGCAGAUUAGCUAGUUGGUGGGGUAAAGGCCUACCAAGGCGACGAUCUGUAGCUGGUCUGAGAGGACGACCAGCCACACUGGGACUGAGACACGGCCCAGACUCCUACGGGAGGCAGCAGUGGGGAAUUUUGGACAAUGGGCGCAAGCCUGAUCCAGCAAUGCCGCGUGUGUGAAGAAGGCCUUCGGGUUGUAAAGCACUUUUGUCCGGAAAGAAAACGUCGUGGUUAAUACCCGUGGCGGAUGACGGUACCGGAAGAAUAAGCACCGGCUAACUACGUGCCAGCAGCCGCGGUAAUACGUAGGGUGCAAGCGUUAAUCGGAAUUACUGGGCGUAAAGCGUGCGCAGGCGGUUCGCUAAGACAGAUGUGAAAUCCCCGGGCUUAACCUGGGAACUGCAUUUGUGACUGGCGGGCUAGAGUAUGGCAGAGGGGGGUAGAAUUCCACGUGUAGCAGUGAAAUGCGUAGAGAUGUGGAGGAAUACCGAU